GAGUUUGAUCCUGGCUCAGGAUAAACGCUGGCGGCGCACAUAAGACAUGCAAGUCGAACGAACUUAAUCCAUUCUUUUAGAUUGGAAGCGGUUAGUGGCGGACUGGUGAGUAACGCGUAAGUAAUCUGCCUAUUAGAGGGGAAUAACAGUGAGAAAUCAUUGCUAAUACCGCAUAUGCCAUAGUAACCACAUGGUUAUAGUGGGAAAGGAGCAAUCCGCUAAUAGAUGAGCUUGCGUCUGAUUAGCUAGUUGGUGGGGUAAAGGCCUACCAAGGCGACGAUCAGUAGCCGGACUGAGAGGUUGAACGGCCACAUUGGGACUGAGAUACGGCCCAGACUCCUACGGGAGGCAGCAGUCGGGAAUAUUGCGCAAUGGAGGAAACUCUGACGCAGUGACGCCGCGUAUAGGAAGAAGGUUUUCGGAUUGUAAACUAUUGUCGUUAGGGAAGAGAAAGGACAGUACCUAAGGAGGAAGCCCCGGCUAACUACGUGCCAGCAGCCGCGGUAAUACGUAGGGGGCGAGCGUUAUCCGGAUUUAUUGGGUGUAAAGGGUGCGUAGACGGGAAUGCAAGUUAGUUGUGAAAUCCCUCGGCUUAACUGAGGAACUGCAACUAAAACUGUAUUUCUUGAGUGCAGGAGAGGAAAGUGGAAUUCCUAGUGUAGCGGUGAAAUGCG
rnacentral:rRNA from 1 species